UGAAAAAGAUGUUUGGAAACUGAAGCUAU
rnacentral:piRNA from 1 species